rnacentral:rRNA from 1 species
GCAAGUCGAGCGGUAACAGGAAGUAGCUUGCUACUUCGCUGACGAGCGGCGGACGGGUGAGUAAUGCUUAGGAAUUUGCCCAGUUGAGGGGGAUAACUAUUGGAAACGAUAGCUAAUACCGCAUACGCUCCUUUCUGUGAAAAGAGAGGAGGAAAGAGGGGGACCUUCGGGCCUCUCGCGAUUGGAUAAGCCUAAGUGAGAUUAGCUAGUUGGUGAGGUAAUGGCUCACCAAGGCGACGAUCUCUAGCUGGUCUGAGAGGAUGAUC